UACAGAGGUCUCAAGCGUUGUUCGGAUUCAUUGGGCGUAAAGGGUGCGUAGGCGGCGCGGUAAGUCGGGUGUGAAAUCUUGGAGCUUAACUCCGAAACUGCAUUCGAUACUGCCGUGCUUGAGGACUGGAGAGGUGACUGGAAUUUACGGUGUAGCGGUGAAAUGCGUAGAUAUCAGGAGGAACACCGGUGGCGAAGGCGGAUCUCUGGGCCUUACCUGACGCUGAGGCGCGAAAGCUAGGGGAGCGAACAGG
rnacentral:rRNA from 1 species